GGACGUGAGGGUGAUCCGGCCGUGACAUCUGUCACCCCAUUGAUUGCCAGUGUUGACUCAGCUGAUCUGGCAGGCUAGGCAGGUGUCCCCUCCCGCCUCACGCGGUCCAUGCGCGAAGCUGCACACGCCUGCUCGGAUUAGGAGGACGACCUUCCCCGUUACAGGAGGACCAUUCUUGCAUCACGGGUAUUCAAGUGGCUGCUGUCCCCUGCUAGAAUCUCCAAACAAGCUUUCAAGGCCCGUUUGUAGAAGAGCAUAGAGGAGUCCAGCCUCCAAGACUCCACACACGUGCAAAUGAGGUGCUACACGUGGCGGGCUGCCUUUCUUU
ensembl:misc_RNA 7SK 7SK RNA